AUUGAACGCUGGCGGCAGGCCUAACACAUGCAAGUCGAAUGGUAACAGGAAACAGCUUGCUGUUUCGCUGACGAGUGGCGGACGGGUGAGUAAUGUCUGGGAAACUGCCUGAUGGAGGGGGAUAACUACUGGAAACGGUAGCUAAUACCGCAUAACGUCGCAAGACCAAAGAGGGGGACCUUCGGGCCUCUUGCCAUCAGAUGUGCCCAGAUGGGAUUAGCUAGUAGGUGGGGUAACGGCUCACCUAGGCGACGAUCCCUAGCUGGUCUGAGAGGAUGACCAGCCACACUGGAACUGAGACACGCUCCAGACUCCUACGGGAGGCAGCAGUGGGGAAUAUUGCACAAUGGGCGCAAGCCUGAUGCAGCCAUGCCGCGUGUAUGAAGAAGGCCUUCGGGUUGUAAAGUACUUUCAGCGGGGAGGAAGGGAGUAAAGUUAAUACCUUUGCUCAUUGACGUUACCCGCAGAAGAAGCACCGGCUAACUCCGUG
rnacentral:rRNA from 1 species